rnacentral:rRNA from 1 species
AGAAUCAACGCUGGCGGCGUGCCUAACACAUGCAAGUCGAACGCGAGAGGGGCUUCGGCCCUGAUUGAGUGGCAAACGGGUGAGUAACGCGUGGGUGACCUACCUUCGAGUGGGGAUAACGUUCCGAAAGGACGCUAAUACCGCAUAACAUCCCGUCUUGGACAGAUGGAGAUCAAAGCCGGGGAUCGUAAGACCUGGCGCUUGAGGACGGGCCCGCGUCCGAUUAGCUAGGUUGGUGGGUAAUGGCUCACCGAAGGCGACGAUCGGUACGCCGG